GGGCCUGUGGGGUAACCCGGAUAGCCUAAGGGGUUCGCAUCCCUUGGUGAGUGUUCAAAUCCCUCCAGGCCCG
rnacentral:tRNA from 2 species